rnacentral:snRNA from 1 species
AAAUGGUGAUCUGACGGCAGCAUCUUUCAUCUCACUGAUUACUUAGAUUGAUUUUGCUGAUCUGGCUAGCUAGUUGGGGUCCCAUCCUCCCUCCCCACUCCAUGUGCAUCCCUCCGGAAGCUGCAUGUUCAGUGGAAGAGGGUGAUCAUUCCAGAUUGAAGGAGAAUACUGCUCUUCAGUCAGGGGUAUACAAUAGCUGUACUCUCCUGCUAGAACAAGUUCAGGGUCCUAAAAAGCAACUGUUUAUUAAAUUCAGUUUUAGAUAAGGAGUGACAACAGAAGUGAUAUCAUUGAAUAUCAUUUGCUAAGAUCUUUUUU